rnacentral:rRNA from 1 species
ACCGCUCACCAACUCGUGGAUAACCUGCCCUUGGGACGGGAUCCCCCGGGAAACUGGGGAUAAACCCGGACGGUGAUGCUGCCUGGAAUGGUUCUUCACCGAAACACCUUCGGGUGCCCAAGGAUGGGUCUGCGGGCGAUUAAGUUGUUGGUAGGGCAACGGCCUACCAAGCCGAUCGUCGGGACGGGUUGUGAUAGCAAGAUUCCGGACAUGGGACCUGACACAAGGUUCCAGGUCCUACCGGGCGCAUGAGGGGCGAAACCUCCUCUCUGCACGCCAGUGCGAGGGGGGAACCCCAAGUGCCCCUCUUAACGGGGUGGGUUUUUUCAACUGAGACUUAUUUCUGGAAUAAGGGCUGGGCAAGACCGGCGCCAGCCGCCGCGGUAACACCGCUGGCUCAGGUGGUAGCCGCUUUUAUUGCGGCUUUGGCGUCCCCAUACUGUCUAAUAUUUCUCUGGUGAAAACCCACAGCUUAACUGUGAGAAUUGCUGGAGAUACUAUCAUGACUCUUGGUCGGGAGAGGCUGGAGGUACUCCUGCUGUACGGGUGAAAUCCUGUAAUCCUGGGAGGAGCACCUGUGGCGAACGCUUGCUCUUGGAACGAACCUGACGGAGAGGGACGAAAGGCAGGGACGCUAACCGGAUUAGAUACGCGGGUAGACCUGUCCGUGAACGAUGUGAACUUGGUGUUGGAAUGGCUUCGAGCUGCCCCAUCGCCUAUCGGAAGCUGUUCAGUCCACCGCCUGUUAUCCCGGUCGCAAGGCUGAUCAUCCACGGAAUUGGUGAGGGAG